rnacentral:rRNA from 1 species
CGGACGGGUGAGUAACGCGUGAGUUACUGCCCCGAAGUGGGAGAUAGCCCGGAGAAAUUCGGAUUAAUACCCCAUGUGAUCGAAAGAUUAAAGGCGGCGCAAGCUGUCGCUUCGGGAUGGGCUCGCGGCCUAUCAGCUAGUUGGCGGGGUAACGGCCCACCAAGGCGAUGACGGGUAGCUGAUCUGAGAGGAUGAUCAGUCACACUGGAACUGAGACACGGUCCAGACACCUACGGGUGGCAGCAGUCGAGAAUCAUUCGCAAUGGGCGAAAGCCUGACGGUGCGACGCCGCGUGGAGGAUGAAGGCCCUAGGGUCGUAAACUCCUGUCAUCAGGGAGUAAGGGCUUGCGCAGUCACUGGCGCGGGCAUUGAUAGUACCUGAAGAGGAAGGGACGGCAAACUUCGUGCCAGCAGCCGCGGUAAUACGAAGGUCCCAAGCGUUGUUCGGAUUUACUGGGCGUAAAGAGUCUGUAGGCGGCGGGGUAAGUCAGAUGUGAAAUCCCGGGGCUCAACCCCGGAACUGCAUCCGAUACUGCCUUGCUUGAGUAUUGGAGGGGAGCCUGGAAUUCUCGGUGUAGCAGUGAAAUGCGUAGAUAUCGAGAGGAACACUAGUGGCGAAGGCGAGGCUCUGGACAAUUACUGACGCUGAGAGACGAAGGUCAGGGGAGCGAAAGGGAUUAGAUACCCCUGUAGUC